CAAACUGGAAACAUCGAUAGGUACAACACGUACAAUCAGUGGACCGCUGAGACUCCUCAUAAGUACAACACGUACAAUCAGUGGACCACUGUGGCUCCGCAUAAAUUUUUACACAUGUAAAGGACUCCAGAGCCCAAAAAGUUUGAGAACCAGUACUAUAAUUGAUCCACCCUGAAUCGGAUGCACUGCCCUAUAUCAGGCAGGUACCUCUUCCUUUCAGGAAAACAGAUGAGCUUUUAUAGAAGUGUGGCAUUCUGUAGUUGUUCUGCACUUGCCAGAAGGAAACUGAAGUGAUCCUAUUUAAAAAUGAACUAGUGAGUAGAACCAGAGGAGUGUUGGCUACAGAAUAACCAGGCCUCCACCCGGCUCAGAAUUUAGUGAAGAAGCUGACCAAGUAUCUCACUCCCACAAGAGUGCCAGGAGAAGCAAAAGGUCUGGCUGGAGGGAAAUAAACACUGUUCCAGGGCUAGUAUGACUGUAUCUGCUAAGAAUGUUACUUGGAAGAAACAAGACAAAUGGGGACGUAUUGUAUGAGUCUUGAUACUUUUACUCCAGCAGCUACCGGCUGAUUUAUAAGCUACAGAAAAAAGAUUGAGACCUACUUUUAAAAAUGAGAAAGGGUUGCAACUGCCAACUUUGCUAUUCCCUCCACAUAGAAUAGUCCAGAAAAGAAAGAAACAAGGACUGUGAUAUACCUAAAAACUGGAUACAGCGUGAGCCAGUGUGACCCAGCGGAUACAGCACUAAUCUGUGGCUCAGGAAACCGCAGUUCUGUUCCCUGAUCUGCUAGUCACCUUGGACAAGUCACUUAGCAUCUCUGUGCUUUAAUUUUCCCAUCUGCAAAAUGUGGGUAAUGAUACUGACAUCCUUUGCAAAGGGCCUUGAC